CCUACGGGUGGCUGCAGUGAGGAAUAUUGGUCAAUGGCCGGAAGGCUGAACCAGCCAAGCCGCGUGAAGGACGAAGGUGCCAAGCAUUGUAAACUUCUUUUCUCAGGGACGAAGAAAGUGACGGUACCUGAGGAAUAAGCCACGGCUAACUACGUGCCAGCAGCCGCGGUAAUACGUAGGUGGCAAGCGUUAUCCGGAUUUACUGGGUGUAAAGGGCGUGUAGGCGGGGAAGCAAGUCAGAUGUGAAAACCACGGGCUCAACCUGUGGCCUGCAUUUGAAACUGUUUUUCUUGAGUACUGGAGAGGCAGACGGAAUUCCUAGUGUAGCGGUGAAAUGCGUAGAUAUUAGGAGGAACACCAGUGGCGAAGGCGGUCUGCUGGACAGCAACUGACGCUGAGGCGCGAAAGCGUGGGGAGCAAACAGGAUUAGAUACCCCGGUAGUC
rnacentral:rRNA from 1 species